rnacentral:rRNA from 1 species
GACGAACGCUGGCGGCGUGCCUAAUACAUGCAAGUCGAGCGAUGAAGAUUGGUGCUUGCACCAAUUUGAAGAGCAGCGAACGGGUGAGUAACGCGUGGGGAAUCUGCCUUUGAGCGGGGGACAACAUUUGGAAACGAAUGCUAAUACCGCAUAACAACUUUAAACAUAAGUUUGAAGUGUGAAAGAUGCAAUUGCAUCACUCAAAGAUGAUCCCGCGUUGUAUUAGCUAGUUGGUGAGGUAAAGGCUCACCAAGGCGAUGAUACAUAGCCGACCUGAGAGGGUGGUCGGCCACAUUGGGACUGGGACACGGCCCAAGCUCCUACGGGAGGCAGCAGUCGGGAAUCUUCGGCAAUAGACGAAAGUCUGACCGAGCAACGCCGCGUGAGUGAAGAAGGUUUUCGGAUCGUAAAACUCUGUUGGUAGAGAAGAACGUUGGUGAGAGUGGAAAGUUCAUCAAGUGACGGUAACUACCCAGAAAGGGACGGCUAACUACGUG